rnacentral:rRNA from 1 species
UACGAAGGGGGGCUAGCGUUGCUCGGAAUCACUGGGCGUAAAGGGUGCGUAGGCGGGUCUUUAAGUCAGGGGUGAAAUCCUGGAGCUCAACUCCAGAACUGCCUUUUGAUACUGAGGAUCUUGAGUUCGGGAGAGGUGAGUGGAACUGCGAGUGUAGAGGUGAAAAUUCGUAGAUAUUCGCAAGAACACCAGUGGCGAAGGCGGCUCACUGGCCCGAUACUGACGCUGAGGAACGAAAGCUAGGGGAGCAAACAGG